UGUAAAUCACAAGGAGUGACAUAAGAUAAUUCUGUAAAAUCAACAAAACUACAAACAGUUUGAUUCUACUGUAUAUAUGGAUUGCUCCCAGUGUCUCCCUGUCUCAGUCUACCAGUGUCCCUAUAUAUUACAGUGUCCCUAUGUCUCCCAGUUUCACCAUACAAUCGCUGCUUCACAGGAGAAAUAGUCUUCAGAGAGCUAUAACCACUGCGGAGGACUAUAACCACUGCAGCCUGG